AGAGUUUGAUCCUGGCUCAGGAUGAACGCUGGCGGCGUGCCUAACACAUGCAAGUCUACUGGAAAUUACCGCUUGCGGUAAUGGAAGGUGGCGAACGGGUGAGUAACGCGUAGAUAAUCUACCCUCUGAUAUGGGAUAUGCUUGUGAAAACGAGAGCAAUACCAUGCAAGGUCUAAUAUUGGCAUCGAUUUUAGAUCAUAGACUAUAAGUUGUUGGAGGAUGAGUCUGCGUACCAUUAGUUAGUUGGUGGGGUAAAAGCCUACCAAGACAUCGAUGGUUAGCUGGUCUGAGAGGAUGAUCAGCCACACUGGGACUGAGAUACGGCCCAGACUCCUACGGGAGGCAGCAGUGAGGAAUAUUGCGCAAUGGAAGGAAUUCUGACGCAGCAACGCCGCGUGAGUGACGAAGCAGGUAACUGUGUAAAGCUCUGUUAAACGGGAGGAAAAGAUAUGUUAGACGCAUAUAUUGACAGUACCGUUAGAGGAAGCUCCGGCUAACUCCGUGCCAGCAGCCGCGGUAAUACGGGGGGAGCAAGCGUUAUCCGGAAUUAUUGGGCGUAAAGCGCAUGUAGGUGGGCUAUUAAGUCAGUUGUAAAAUAUCAAGGCUCAACCUUGACAUGCAAUUGAAACUGGUAGUCUUGAGUAUGAGAGGGGACAGCGGAAUACCUAGUGUAGCGGUGGAAUGCGUAGAUAUUAGGUAGAACACAGUGGCGAAGGCGGCUGUCUGGCUCAUAACUGACACUGAGAUGCGAAAGCAUGGGUAGCAAACAGGCUUAGAUACCCUGGUAGUCCAUGCUGUAAACGAUGGGAACUAGAUGUCGGGGGUCCUAAACCCCUCGGUGUCGUAGCUAACGCGUUAAGUUCCCCGCCUGGGGAGUACGAUCGCAAGGUUGAAACUCAAAGGAAUUGACGGGGGCCCGCACAAGCGGUGGAGCAUGUGGUUUAAUUCGAUGCAACGCGAAGAACCUUACCUGGGCUUGAACUUUAUUUGAUCAGUGUAGAGAUACACCUUUUCCUUUUAGGAACAGAUGGAGAGGUGCUGCAUGGCUGUCGUCAGCUCGUGUCGUGAGAUGUUGGGUUAAGUCCCGCAACGAGCGGAACCCUUAUCAUUAGUUACCAUCGCGUAAUGGCGGGGACUCUAAUGAGACUGCCCGGGUUAACCGGGAGGAAGGGGGGAUGACGUCAAGUCCUCAUGGCCCUUAUGUCCAGGGCUACACACGUGCUACAAUGGGCGGUACAGAGUGAAGCGACAUCGCGAGGUGAAGCGGAUCACAAGAACCGUUCCCAGUUCGGAUUGCAGUCUGCAACUCGACUGCAUGAAGUCGGAAUCGCUAGUAAUCGCGGAUCAGCAUGCCGCGGUGAAUACGUUCCCGGGCCUUGUACACACCGCCCGUCACACCAUGGAAGUUGAUAGUGCUCGAAGUGACUGAGUUAACCCUCGGGAGACAGGUUACUAAGGCAAGAUUGAUGGCUGGGGUGAAGUCGUAACAAGGUA
rnacentral:rRNA from 1 species